GUCCUCUGCGAGUCGUCUGCUGAAGGCCAAGAAGCAGGGCAUUCAAAACCGAUUUGAGAUGGAUCACAAAAUGUCUCAUGUGAGGAAAACCCUGUUGGACCACAGAAUGGGAGGACAAGUGAACAGUUUUUGAUGGCAAAGCAUCAUCCACCUGUAGCACGCGCUCCAGCAGGUAUAUCUCUCUGGUCACCCCCAAAACCAAUUCUUUCUUUGGCCGCUUCUCCUUCCAGUUCUCUGCUGCCAAUGACUGGAACAAACUACAAAAAUCUCUGAAACUGGAAACACUUAUCUCCCUCACUAGCUUUAAGCACCAACUGUCAGAGCAGCUCACAGAUUACUGCACCUGUACAUAGCCCACCUAUAAUUUAGCCCAAACAACUACCUCUUUCUGUCACGCCCUGGUCGAAGUAUAUUAUGUUUGUCUUCAUUUAUUUGGUCAGGCCAGGGUGUGACAUGGGUUAUUGUGGUGUGUUUUUGUCUUGGGGUUUUGUGGGGUGUCUAGCAUAGUCUAUGGCUGCCUGAGGCGGUUCUCAAUCAGAGUCAGGUGAUUAUCGUUGUCUCUGAUUGGGAACCAUAUUUAGGCAGCCAUAUUCUUUGAGUAUUUCGUGGAUGAUUGUUCCUGUCUCUGUGUUUGUUGUCACCAGAUAGGCUGUAUAGGUUUUCAUGUUCCGUUUGUUGUUUUUGUAUUGUUCGUGUUUUUUCAUCGUCAUUAAACAUGUCUAAAAAAUACCACACUGCAUUUUGGUCCGCUUCUCCUUCACCAGACGAGAACCGUUACACUUUCCCUACUGUAUUUAUUUUAUUUAUUUAUUUUGCUCCUUUGCACCCCAUUAUUUUUAUUUCUACUUUGCACAUUCUUCCACUGCAAAUCUACCAUUCCAGUGUUUUACUUGCUAUAUUGUAUUUACUUUGCCACCAUGGCGUUUUUUUGCCUUUACCUCCCUUAUCUCACCUCAUUUGCCUACAUCGUAUAUAGACUUGUUUAUACUGUAUUAUUGACUGCAUGUUUGUUUUACUCCAUGUGUAACUCUGUGUCGUUGUAUGUGUCGAACUGCUUUGCUUUAUCUUGGCCAGGUCGCAAUUGUAAUUGAGAACUUGUUCUCAACUUGCCUACCUGGUUAAAUAAAGGUGAAAUAAAAUGUGUAUAUGCUGAAUAAGG